GUGGGGUAAACACAAAAUGUGUCUGUUUUUUUGCUUUGAGAUGACGUGGAAAUCCUUCCUGUUUGCAGUACUGUCCUGGAAACAUAAACAGGAGUACAAUCCCUGAACAUGCUCAUGUACAUAUGGCACUGUGUGCAAACUCAGCUGUAACUUUGCAGCUACCUCCUGAGGAUGCAGGUUUUAGUGGGAGGAGAUAAAACAAGAAGAAGCUUCUGUGGUGUAAAUGCGGGUUUAAUAAAGCAUUCAUUAAAAACAAGGUACUGAAGGUACUUUCAGCAAAACAGACAUCAGCUCGGCGUGACCUCAGGCCAUUUCAAAAGGCACAAGGUCUCUUUUGGCGUUGAUGCUUUUAAUCCAAGACCCGCUGCUGGGGGAUAAUGGCACCGUUUUAGAGACCUACAGUCGACAUUAUCACAAUCCACCAAGGGCGGACCCUGAUCAGGAAGGAAGCGAAAACCUGCCCAUUCAGUCAGCUCCGUGUGAUCCGAGUAAGAUCGAUGCAGCUACUCAGAUGAACACACAGAUGGUCCAAAGGCAGUAAUUAUAGUAAACCUAGAGGAUAUGUGAUAGUGGUGGUGGGUAGUCUCUUAAAUUAGCGGAAAUUAGUGUAUAGAGCAGCAGUGUGAUGUUGUAGAAAAGGCCAGCCAACCAUAGUGAUUAUUGAGCCACAUUUACAGAAGAAAUAUAUCAGCACACAGCUACCGGUUAGCCUAUCAGCGGCAAGGCAACCUAUUCUCUGGCAAUGAAAGAAAAAUGUUCAGUCUCAAAGAGUCAAAGAGAAAAAGUCAGUGAAUGACUCAGAAGAGAAGGUGUAAGGCCGGUUCUGUGUGCAGCCACCUCCAUCUCCGCUGUAAAUGCUAUAACAAGUAUAAAAUUAGUUCGGUGGAUGAGCACUUCCAUCCUCGUCUCCUACUUCAUCCUGAUCUCGAAGCAUAAACAGUUGCAGGUGUCACAGUCAGGAACCUGGCAGGUACAGGCACAGUCCCACCUGGAGCACUGUAGGAAAGAAAAACACAGCAGCUCAGACAGGAGACUAACUUUCUGGGCGAGGAUUUAACGGCGGCACCUGCUGUGUCCUGAAGAACCCGCAGAAACCAACAAGCACGCUUGUGUAGCUUCACCUGUCCCAGCAGGUGAACUUCUCCUGCAGCCAGGAAGCUGUUUUACCCACACACACACACACAUUCAUUAUUUUAAGUUAUUACUAUUAUACCCUUGACAAUAACGCUUAGAUCAAGAGGCGUGUGGUGGUUCAUACCUCCUGAUUUU
ensembl:lncRNA